GAUGAACGCUGGCGGCGUGCCUAAUACAUGCAAGUCGAGCGAACGGACGAGAAGCUUACUUCUCUGAUGUUAGCGGCGGACGGGUGAGUAACACGUGGAUAACCUACCUAUAAGACUGGGAUAACUUCGGGAAACCGGAGCUAAUACCGGAUAAUAUUUUGAACCGCAUGGUUCAAAAGUGAAAGACGGUCUUGCUGUCACUUAUAGAUGGAUCCGCGCUGCAUUAGCUAGUUGGUAAGGUAACGGCUUACCAAGGCAACGAUGCAUAGCCGACCUGAGAGGGUGAUCGGCCACAGUGGAACUGAGACCCGGCCCAGACCCCGACGGGGGGCGGCAGGGGGAAUUCUUCGUCAAGGGCCGAAGGCGGAAAGGACCACCGCGGGGUGAUGGAGAAAGUUCUUCGUAUCGAAAAACUUUUUUAUGGGGAAAAAAAAUAUGUGAAAGAACCUGUCCCCCUCUGGCGGUAACCUAAUAGAAAACCCAGGCAAAGCUCGGCC
rnacentral:rRNA from 1 species